rnacentral:rRNA from 1 species
UACAGAGGUCUCAAGCGUUGUUCGGAUUCAUUGGGCGUAAAGGGUGCGUAGGCGGCGCGGUAAGUCGGGUGUGAAAUCUCGGAGCUUAACUCCGAAACUGCAUUCGAUACUGCCGUGCUUGAGUGCGGCAGAGGAGACUGGAAUUCCUGGUGUAGCAGUGAAAUGCGUAGAUAUCAGGAGGAAUACCGAUGGCGAAGGCAGGUCUCUGGGCUGACACUGACGCUCAUGCACGAAAGACGUGGGGAGC